rnacentral:rRNA from 1 species
UACGUAGGGACCAAGCGUUGUUCGGAUUUACUGGGCGUAAAGGGCGCGUAGGCGGCAAUUCAAGUCAGCUGUGAAAUCUCCGGGCUUAACUCGGAACGGUCAGCUGAUACUGCUUUGCUAGAGUGCAGAAGGGGCAAUCGGAAUUCUUGGUGUAGUGGUGAAAUGCGUAGAUAUCAAGAGGAACACCUGAGGUGAAGACGGGUUGCUGGGCUGACACUGACGCUGAGGCGCGAAAGCUAGGGUAGCAAACGGG